ACUCAUACCUUGCAGGGGAAAUACCAUGGUCAUGAAAGUGGUUUUCCCAGAGUGAGGCCCAUCCAUUGCACUUCAGGUGUGCUGAUCCCUGUGAUUUCCCCAAAUGUGGGGAACUCAACUGCAUAACUUUUGGUAGUGGGGGGUUGCAUUUGUGUUUUCCCUGG
rnacentral:snRNA from 1 species